GACGAACGCUGGCGGCGUGCUUAACACAUGCAAGUCGAACGGAAAGGCCCCUUUGGGGUUCCUCGAGUGGCGAACGGUUGAGUAACACGUGAGUAACCUGCCCUUUCCUUCGGGAUAACUUCAGGAAAGUGGGGCUAAUACCGGUAAGGAAUCCUUGCUGCAUCGUGGGGGUUGGAAAGCUUCGGCGGUUUUGGAUGGACUCGCGGCUUAUCAGCUUGUUGGUGGGGUAGUGGCUUACCAAGGCUUCGACGGGUAGCCGGACUGAGAGGGCGACCGGCCACAUUGGGACUGAGAUACGGCCCAGACUCCUACGGGAGGCAGCAGGGGGGAAGAUUGUACAAUGGGCGGAAGGCUGAUGCAGCAACGCCGCGUGCGGGAUGACGGCCUUCGGGUUGUAAACCGCUUUCAGCAGGGGCGAAGCUUGUGGUGACGGUACCUGCAGAAGAAGCACCGGCUAACUACGUG
rnacentral:rRNA from 1 species